AUAUUUAGUUGGCAGUAAAGGUACGAUGAUCAUGAAAGUGCUUUCCCCAGGGCAAGGUUUGUGUCCACUCCACUUAGAUGUACUAGCCCCUGUAAUCUCCCAAAUGUGAGAGACUCGAAUGCAGAAUUUGUCAUAGUAGCGGAUUGUGUUGGCAUUCUCCUCUG
rnacentral:snRNA from 1 species